UAUUUUCAAUGAUUUAUGCCAAGCUGCCAAGAAGUGGCAUAAUAGGAGCGUUACGAACGUUUCUACAACCAUCUAUGGAUGUUCCAUCGUUAUUCUUCUGUAUUAUUUGGAUCAUUUGCAUGACUCAGUGGCACCCCAGAACAAACGUGGAACACCACGAAUCAAAUACUUUGAUAGGAAUAUUAUUCAAGCCCUGACAAGAGCUGACAAGGGCAAGAUACGCAAAGGAGAAGAAGCAUUUGGACAUUGCUCGUUCCGAAGCUCCUCAGAGACCUGCUACACAGAUGUACCACCCGUUCAUGCACAAUUCAAGGCAUGAUUCUAUUUAUAUAUU